CCUUUAAAUAUACAUCAUAGUCAAAUAAACAACAUCAUAUUCGAUCUGCAAAGUCUCUAUCAGUUCCUGCCCAGUCCUUAUCACCCAGCCUUACAUUUUGCUGAGAAAAUGUUCCCUGUUCAAUAACAAACCCAGAAGCAAGUGAGACUCACAUUUAGGAGUGAUGUGCUGAGAAAUGGACAUAGAGGAGGGGGGUCCCUUCUCCUGGAAGCUAAAUUGGAAAUUAAUUGAUUACAAGGGUAGAAGACACUCAGGACUCAAGCUCUCCACCCUGCCCGUAGGACAACAUGGCAAACAGGUCAAAGAAACUGCAAAGAUGCUGAAGACCAGCACAUUUUAAACAGUGUCUUCAACGCGUGAUUUUGGAGAAGAAAAGCACCCACAGCCAUCACCCAGGGACCAGCUGCCCAUCACCACAGCCCUGGCAAACCUCCACUUUGGAAGGAUAACGAGCAUUUUUGGCUGCAGCAGCAACGACGCCAUAAAACACCACGAACUGCUGUUUGCAGGCUUCUCCCAUCGCUGCUCGGAGCAUCUGUGGAAGGGAAAACUUCCCAGCGUAACAUCCACAACCUCUUAAGUAAAUAGUCUUUAAUGUUGCACUAAAGGGUUGUAGCCUUAAUAUGUAAAAUCUGUUUCGCUUUUUUAAUUCUUGGAUCGUGCUGUGGAAAGUGCUCCAGAAGUUGCCUGUUGGCUUUUUUCCCCCAGCCUUUGGUCUCGGAGGAGCCGUGGCCAGGAACGCCCUCCCGCAGCGCCGCCGCAAGCCCGGGCCAGCGGGAGCUGGUGGGAGAUGCCCUGAAGAUGGCAGCAGGGCCAUGGGCACCAGCCUGCGACAGCCGGCGGGUACCACAGCGCUCCGCUAAAUGCUGUUUGCAGCAAAUAUUUUUGCUUUCAAGAAGAAGGGAAAACGAAAAAAUAGAAAAGGAAAAAAAAAAAUAAAAAAUAAAAAGGGUGGGGAGCUGUUUUGUAACAAAUGCCAGAGCGCUCCCCGCAGCUGCAACUUUCUGCUGCAUCAGGAUGGAGCAAAUCACACCCGCUCGCUGCAAUCUGCCGGGAUGCUCAAAGGCUCAUCAGCCCCUCACAGCUGGGUCCUGCCCGCUGAGUGGCAGCUGAGCCUUUUCAACUAGGCAUGAAGGGUGGGAUGGGUUUCCCCGAUGGCUCUGGGUGCUGCCAGCUCCAGGCUGAGGGAGUUAUUUUAGGGUUUCUUCUUUCCCUUGUGCUUGCAGCCCUUGGAAUGUGGGCUCAUUGCUGGUCUGUGGCUGUUCCACUGAUGGCAUGAAGGCAAAUGUGAGAUGGAGCCAGUAGCUAUUUGGCUCCUGGUGGAGCAGUGUGUGUUCUGGUGUGUUGACUGAGUCUGCUGGGUGCUGUGGAAAUACGUAAAUAAAUGAAAAAGCAAUCUUUCCUCA